UACGUAGGGGGGCAAGCGUUUGUCCGGAUUUAUUGGGCGUAAAGAGCGUGUAGGCGGCCUGACAAGUCUGCUGUGAAAACUCGAGGCUCAACCUCGAGAUGUCGGCGGAAACUGUCUGGCUAGAGUCCGGAAGAGGAGAGUGGAAUUCCUGGUGUAGCGGUGAAAAUGCGCAGAUAUCAGGAAGAACACCUAUGGCGAAGGCAGCUCUCUGGGACGGUACUGACGCUGAGACGCGAAAGCGUGGGGAGCGAACAGG
rnacentral:rRNA from 1 species